rnacentral:lncRNA from 1 species
GUAACACUCAACCGCGAGGGUCCACGGCUUCAUUCUUGAAGUGAGCCUCAUCCAAUUUGUGAAAGCCUGAAUAGAACAAAAGUCUGACCCUCCGCUGAGUAAGAGAGAAUUCUUCCUGCCUGAAUGCCUUCACACUGAGAUAUGGGUUUUUGUCCUGUUUUCAGAGUAGAACCAAAACAUUGGCUCUUCCUGGACCUUCAACCUACCAGCUUUUGAACUGAACCUACACCAUUGGCUCUCCUGGUUCUCAUGCCUUCAAAUUCAGACUGAAAUCCUUUUAUUCUCCAGAAAAUACAUCAUUUUCCAUUUUCUCCUGAAAUUUUAAAGUUCGCCUUUUCACAUUCAGAUUAAUCUACCUGGAAUUUGCAGAGGCAUGCAUGAUGUGGUAUAGGGAAUCUUUUGGGGACUGGGUUUUUUUAUUUUUACUUAUUUAUUUUCGAGAUGGAGUCUCACUCUGUCACCCAGGCUGGAGUG